rnacentral:rRNA from 1 species
UGGGGGAUAUUGCACAAUGGGCGAAAGCCUGAUGCAGCGACGCCGCGUGGGGGAUGAAGGCUUUCGGGUUGUAAACCUCUUUCGCUAUCGAACAAGGCCCGCUUAGGGUGGGUUGAGGGUAGGUGGAGAAGAAGCGCCGGCUAACUACGUGCCAGCAGCCGCGGUAAUACGUAGGGCGCGAGCGUUGUCCGGAAUUAUUGGUCGUAAAGGGCUUGUAGGCGGCUUGUUGCGCCUGCUGUGAAAACGCGGGGCUUAACUUCGCGCGUGCAGUGGGUACGGGCAGGCUUGAGUGUGGUAGGGGUGACUGGAAUUCCAGGUGUAGCGGUGGAAUGCGCAGAUAUCUGGAGGAACACAGAUGGCGAAGGCAGGUCACUGGGCCAUUACUGACGCUGAGGAGCGAAAGCAUGGGUAGCGAACAGG